CAGCAGCCGCGGUAAUACGUAGGUGGCAAGCGUUCUCCGGAAUUAUUGGGCGUAAAGGGCUCGCAGCGGGUCUCUUAACUCUGAUGUGAAACCCCCGGCUCAACCCGGGGAGGCUCAUUGGAAACUGGGGACCUUGAGUGCAGAAGAGGAGAGUGGAAUUCCACGUGUAGCGGUGAAAUGCGUAGAGAUGUGGAGGAACACCAGUGGCGAAGGCGACUCUCUGGUCUGUAACUGACGCUGAGGAGCGAAAGCGUGGGGAGCGGAACAGGAUUAGAUACCCUGGUAGUCCACGCCGUAAACGAUGAGUGCUAAGUGUUAGGGGGUCUCCGCCCCUUAGUGCUGCAGCUAACGCAUUAAGCACUCCGCUUUGGGAGUACGCUCGCAAGACUGAAACUCAAAGGAAUUGACGGG
rnacentral:rRNA from 1 species